AUUGAACGCUGGCGGCAUGCUUUACACAUGCAAGUCGAACGGUAACAGGCCGCAAGGUGCUGACGAGUGGCGAACGGGUGAGUAAUGCAUCGGAACGUGCCCAGUCGUGGGGGAUAACGCAGCGAAAGCUGCGCUAAUACCGCAUACGAUCUAUGGAUGAAAGCGGGGGACCGUAAGGCCUCGGGCGAUUGGAGCGGCCGAUGUCAGAUUAGGUAGUUGGUGGGGUAAAGGCUCACCAAGCCAACGAUCUGUAGCUGGUCUGAGAGGACGACCAGCCACACUGGGACUGAGACACGGCCCAGACUCCUACGGGAGGCAGCAGUGGGGAAUUUUGGACAAUGGGCGCAAGCCUGAUCCAGCAAUGCCGCGUGCAGGAAGAAGGCCUUCGGGUUGUAAACUGCUUUUGUACGGAACGAAACGGUCCGGGUUAAUACCCUGGGCUAAUGACGGUACCGUAAGAAUAAGCACCGGCUAACUACGUGCCAGCCGCCGCGGUAA
rnacentral:rRNA from 1 species